rnacentral:ncRNA from 2 species
UAUCCAUAAAGGGAUGGUGCUCCCUAUAAACGCUAGAAAUAGCUGAUGGCGCCUGUUAGAAA